GAUGAACGCUGGCGGCGUGCCUAAUACAUGCAAGUCGAGCGAACAGAUGCGGAGCUUGCUCCUCUGACGUUAGCGGCGGACGGGUGAGUAACACGUGGAUAACCUCCCUAUAAGACUGGGAUAACUUCGGGAAACCGGCGCUAAUACCGGAUAAUAUAUUGAACCGCGGGGUUCAAUAGUGAAAGACGGCGUUGCGGGCAGUACUAGAUGGAUCCGCGCCGCAUUGGGUAGUUGUGACGUUCACGGCUUACCAAGGCAACGAUGCGUAGCCGACGUCAGAGGCGGGUCGCCCACCUUGGAACUGGACCAGGGUCCAUACUCCUGCGAUAGGGAGCAGUAGGGAAUCGUCCGCAGUAGGCGGGAGCAUGACGGAGCAAGCCCGCGCGAGUGAUGGAGGCCUCCCGAUCGUAAUGCCCUGUUAUUGGUGAAGAACAAAUUUGUACUUUACUAUGGCCGUCUUGACGGUACUGAAUAAGAAAGCCCCGGCUAACUACGUG
rnacentral:rRNA from 1 species